AGCUUUGCGCAGUGGCAGUAUCAUAGCCAAUGAGGUCAAACCGAGGCGUGAUUAUUGCUAAUUGAAAACUUUUCCCAAUACCCGCGCCGUGAUGACUUGAAAUAUAGUCAGCACUGGCAAUUUUUGACAAUUCUUGAGAG
rnacentral:snRNA from 1 species